GUGCGUUUCAUGACAGGAGAAACAGCGAAGUGUUUCGUGCAUGUGCGGUUGGCCCUUGCAAAUAGCGCAAAACACAAUUGCGGUAUGUCGUAGCACGGGGUAGGUCUCUUACCUCCCGGCAGGAAGAGCGCUCUGGCGGGACGUCUGCUCGUCGCACCGUCGGGUUCGGUAUGUGAGUGUAGAGCGAGAAGAGCUGAAUUGUGACUGAGAGUCAACAUAGGGAGAGACAGUCGGGGGGACAAAGGGAAGGAUUUUUAGGUGUUUGCAACCGGGCGAAGUUUUGCACAUCCCCGCUGGAGCACAGACACCGCUUUUCACUUCAGGGGCCCUACGUGAGGAGAGACACCCGUUUCUCUCGACUUCCACAGCAUCUCUCGUCUCCAACAGAGAUCUGCAGUUACUUGCAUGUGGACAGCAACAUAUGCUCUUUUGCAAUGUACCCACUAUUUCUCUAAGUCGUGCCGACCCCACGAAGGGCAUCGGCCCUGAAGGCGUCGGCAACUGAGGCACAAACGGUCGGGAGUGGAAGUUGGUUUGGCAUCGCACGUAUCAGCCAGAAACGAUCCCGAAGGAAUUCUCAUCUUCUUUGUCCCUCUUCCUCUCCCUCUAGCCUCCCAGCUUUUUCACAACCUGUGUUGUGUUUCGCACCCGAACAGCCGACAUCAAUCCGUGUACGCAUGUGACAGUAUUCACUUGUGUCUGUACCUGCGUGGACAUGGGAGAAAAAAAUCAAUGUCUUUCCCGGCGUGCGUGGAACUGUUGUGUGACCACAGAAGUGGGUCUUGGCCGAUUUUCUUAGAAUGUGUCAAGCAGGAUGGUACACGUCCGUCAUUUUGUUGGUUUUUGUAGAGCCGUUACACGAACGGCGAAUGCACCACCUCAUUGACUGCAGAAGACUUCUGGGGCGCUGUACCAUUCACAAUACACUUCCCCCGCACCACGAGUUGCUUUCGGGUUACUCUGCUUGGAGGGGACACCGUCGUUUUGACCGUGUCGCACUGACCGCUUGCGGGUUGCUGAAUCCACCUUUUUGCCAAAGACAGGAGAAUGGACAAAAGCGUCUCAUCAGAGGGUAUCAGGCGCUGUGAGGUGCUGUGCUUGCUAGUGGGCUUAAUCAGGAUCGGGGAGUCGAAGGCGCGAUAACUCUCUAGUGACCGAAUCCCUUUUGCUCUGUGUGCCGCUGCAAACCUCGCAAUGCCUGUUUUUUGCAUGAUGCUCAGAUAACUCUACCGAG
rnacentral:lncRNA from 1 species